rnacentral:misc_RNA from 1 species
GGGAGAAGCACAUGAAUGCAAUUUUAUUUAUUUAAGUAUCCCUGGCCAAUAGCUACUGGUUAAUUUUUAAAAAGUUUAAUAUGUACUCAAGAGCAGGAUUUACUUUAUACCGAGUAGUUAUGUUCAGAAUACUUGAAACAUUACAACUGUGACACAAGACAAAGAUGCCCUCAACCUAAGGUGGAUCAGAGUAAUCCACUAGAUGAAGACAAACUUCAGAUGAACAAAAGCAAGUAGUAAAAAUAUUGUGCUGGUUACAUGCUUAUUAUACUUGAAACAGAUCCAUAGCUCCAUAGAUGAACUAAAGAAAUCUAAAGAGGCGUAGGAUCUCCCAAACUUAGUUGUCAGGCUCCAUACGAUUCAAGUGGAACGCACCUUCAUUAUUGUGCUGCACUUGAACUUUGAACUUCUCUUCCUUCCCUCCCCUGCUGGUUUUGAUGACCAAAUGAAGCUUUGUAGAAUCAUCAGCCAUCUCAGCAUUAGCAUGAACAAUCUCUUGUAGUUUAUAUGGAUGUAUAGAGUUGGAUCUCUGCUGGAUGGUCUUUAUUGCAUGCUCUGCAGCUUCUUCAACAACAGGAUCAUGCACAGGCACUGAUUUCAAUCCACUGCUCUGCUCUACUUGCUUAACUCCUAGAUCUGAAGAAGUAAAGGUAGGAACGUCUUCAACAUGCUUGAACUCUUGAAGUUCCUUAAAAUUCAACCAUGGUUUGACCCAGACCUUAGCCUCAUAGAGUUUCUUUUUUCCAGCAUCCAUGACCUCAAGAGUGAGGUGGUGCAGUUUACCUGCAACAGUUUGUUCUUGCGCCUUCACUACUCUGGCCAAUUCAAUCAUUGCAUUCUCCUUCUUAUUAUGCUCAUCUACGGCAAAUUUAGCAAGGCUAUGGAUCUCGUCACUGUUCUGCGAGGAACCAUGAGAAUCAUGAACUCCACCAAGAGUAGCCAUCUCUUCACUGCAGAAUCCUCCUGAUUUUCCCUGUUCGCUUAACCCAAACGCAGAAACCAGAAAAAGCACUAUCAGUAUUGCUCUACUUCGAAUCACUCUCAUCUGUUGUGGUGAAUUUCAAUUCCUUCUUCUAAAGCCAAAAAAAAAUGCCCUUUUGUCCUUUAUACUAUUAUUA